AAAAAAAAAAAAACGAUAUUUCAUCCUCAACAAAGAGUUGGCUGUUAUAAAUGGACAUUUAACAAGAAACAGAGAAAGACAAAAUGACAGGAUUAGAGGCAUAAUGAUUUCUUUAAACGACAAUUCGUAAUUUCAUAAUGGUCGGUCGUUUGGAGCAAGAAUGGAACACUCAGCCAACAACGCACAUGGACUUCUUUUUGAGCAAAGACCUGUUGUUCUAAUAAAAGGCAUCUAAUUUUGUAAACGACAAACACCUAUUCUUGAUUUUUAAACAACUAGGCUUUUGCUAGCGCGUAUAAUCA
rnacentral:misc_RNA from 1 species